rnacentral:rRNA from 1 species
AUGAACGCUGGCGGCGUGCUUAACACAUGCAAGUCGAACGGUGAAGGCGGAGCUUGCUCUGCUGGAUCAGUGGCGAACGGGUGAGUAACACGUGAGCAAUCUGCCCCUGACUCUGGGAUAAGCGCUGGAAACGGCGUCUAAUACUGGAUACGAGCUGCGAAGGCAUCUUCAGCAGCUGGAAAGAAUUUCGGUCAGGGAUGAGCUCGCGGCCUAUCAGCUUGUUGGUGAGGUAAUGGCUCACCAAGGCGUCGACGGGUAGCCGGCCUGAGAGGGUGACCGGCCACACUGGGACUGAGACACGGCCCAGACUCCUACGGGAGGCAGCAGUGGGGAAUAUUGCACAAUGGGCGAAAGCCUGGUGCAGCAACGCCGCGUGAGGGACGACGGCCUUCGGGUUGUAAACCUCUUUUAGCAGGGAAGAAGCGAAAGUGACGGUACCUGCAGAAAAAGCGCCGGCUAACUACGUG